rnacentral:rRNA from 1 species
CAAUACUUAGUGGCAGACGGGUGAGUAACAUGUGGGUAUCUACCCUUUGGCCUGGAAUAACACGAGGAAACUUGUGCUAAUACCGGAUAAGUCUUUACAGAGAAAGCUUUAUGCACCAUUGGAUGAGCCUGCACUAGAUUAGUUUGUUGGUGGGGUAAUGGCCUACCAAGACUGUGAUCUAUAGCUGAUUUGAGAGGAUGAUCAGCCACAUUGGGACUGAGACACGGCCCAAACUCCUACGGGAGGCAGCAGUGGGGAAUCUUGCACAAUGGAGGAAACUCUGAUGCAGCGAUGCCGCGUGAGUGAAGAAGGCCCUUGGGUUGUAAAGCUCUUUCGUCGGGGAAGAAAAUGACUGUACCCGAAUAAGAAGGUCCGGCUAACUUCGUGCCAGCAGCCGCAGUAAUACGAAGGGACCUAGCGUAGUUCGGAAUUACUGGGCUUAAAGAGUUCGUAGGUGGUUGAAAAAGUUGGUGGUGAAAUCCCAGAGCUUAACUCUGGAACUGCCAUCAAAACUUUUCAGCUAGAGCAUGAUAGAGGAAAGCAGAAUUUCUAGUGUAGAGGUGAAAUUCGUAGAUAUUAGAAAGAAUACCAAUUGCGAAGGCAGCUUUCUGGAUCAUUACUGACACUGAGGAACGAAAGCAUGGGUAGCGAAGAGGAUUAGAUACCCUCGUAGUCCAUGCCGUAAACGAUGUGUGUUAGACGUUGGAAAUUUAUUUUCAGUGUCGCAGCGAAAGCGAUAAACACACCGCCUGGGGAGUACGACCGCAAGGUUAAAACUCAAAUGAAUUGACGGG